UACGUAGGGUGCAGGCGUUAAUCGGAAUUACUGGGCGUAAAGCGUGCGCAGGCGGUUUGCUAAGACAGGUGUGAAAUCCCCGGGCUUAACCUGGGAACUGCGCUUGUUACUGGCAAGCUGGAGUGUGGCAGAGGGGGGUGGAAUUCCACGUGUAGCAGUGAAAUGCGUAGAGAUGUGGAGGAACACCGAUGGCGAAGGCAGCCCCCUGGGCUAACACUGACGCUCAUGCACGAAAGCGUGGGGAGCGAACAGG
rnacentral:rRNA from 1 species